rnacentral:piRNA from 1 species
UAUUAUUUGUGAAGCCUCAGAUCCAGC